UUAAAGCAACACUAUGUAGUUUCCAUGUAAAAAUGACUUACAGCUCCCCCAUGUGGUUGAAAAGCGCAACAGUGCCUGGUAUCAGACACUCUUCUGCAGGCAGGGGGAGGGGCGGGGCUGUGUUUCCUACCCUCCACCGCCACUUUCAGAGUGUGCUUGUAGCAGCUAGGAGGCUGCUCAGGUUGCAGCAACAGUACAGUUUGUCCAGUUAAAAGUUGUUCUAUCACUGAAAUAAUUUUAGAGAAAUGAUUUAAAGGUAAAAAAACUACAUAGUGUUGCUUUAAUGUAAUAUGGUCUGUGGCGUCUAUGAAGGUAAUAUAUAUCUCAUUAACCUUAUGGAGCAAUCCUGCUGUGUAGUUUGCAGUCAUAUCAUGCAGACAAAGCACUGGAUGACGUGACAGACAACUGGUUGUCCAGUGCGAUUCCGUUCACACGCCACAGCUUUUCUGUAAAUACGGUUGGGAAAUCCGAAAAUUUACGAGUGUGAGGUCGGUUAUAGAAUGCGGUUGUAUUAUGGUACCGUGUGAACGCAGCCUAUGUUUCUCUGCAGGUGUCUGGGAUAAUGAAGACAAUUUGGGUUGUCGUGUUACACGCCAGGUGAACAACAUCAGAGUGCGUCAGUCAGAGAUCCUAAAGAAGGACUCCAUAUGUUUAGUCGAGACAGUAGGCCGUACAUCUCUUACGACGAGGAUAUUUGUGUCAAGAUGUUCCCGAUACUGUCAAGGACAUUUAAGCAAUUAUGUGAGCUGCAGUCUGGAUCCUGCCUCUGUCAGAUGACCUAACACAAAUGGAAAGAUGACACCGGCCCUUGCAAGGACUUUAGACGAUGCCAGCACUGAACUACAUACAGUGCAGGGGUGACCAAACUUUUGCAUGCCACUGUACUGAUAUAUACUAUACAAAUAAUAUUUUCAGCAGUCCGUGUUAAAUUUUUUAUUUCAAGGUGAUCCUAAAGCAACAAAGAGGAACCUUGGACAGGAAGAAGUGGUGUCCAGAUGUUUAAAAGGCGGUGUUGACAUAGUUUGGGACAGGAAACAAAGGCAACAAAGAGGAACCUCUAAGCUUUAAAGGCGCUGCUUGCAGAGACAAGUGUAGGAAACAAAGACAGAAGACCUGACAAGAAUAUUUUAUGAUUACAUAUUUUUUUUGCUGUGUACAUGCACAUUAUUAUUUACAAUAUAUUUCUAAGAUACAUAAAUAUGUGACCUUUUAUAUGAAAUCCAGGCUACUGUCUUAGCAUCUAAUUGCAUCUAAAGUUUGAAUUUACUGAUUUAACAUUGAGUUCAGUCUUUGGCAUGACUCAGUCAAUAUUGAAGAUGUCAAGUUUAUAUUUUUACAGAAUGUUUUCUGUAUUGUGUAGGAUGAUUUUAUGUAGAAAACAGUAAAUCACAAAGAAAUACUUUGCUGGGUUUUCACAGGCCGUGUCCCAUUUGUACAACAUAUGUGGAUUAUCUUGAGACUUAAACUUCUGAAAUCAAAACUGUAAUAUUUUAUCAUUUCAAAUGCAGCCAGCCUUUGCCUAGAAUUUGAAAUGUAUACCCUUGGGUUUUUUCAGUAUUUUUUUAAAAUCUCACCCUGAGAUAUUUUUAAACAAUGUUCAAGACUUUUCCAUGUAUUAUGGGCCUGAAUCACUUGUUUAUUUGAUCAUUUUGUCCAAGUAAUAUGAAAAAAAAUCUAUUCAAUUUUAGUUUUGAUGGCACUAUAUUUAUGUCCACAAACGUACUUGAUUUUUUUUCUUUACCUUAAAAGUAAACCAUUUUGAACAGUAUAAGAAAUAUUUUGUUUAAGUGUUUCAAAACAUUUAAAACAGUAGUAGUAUAGCAGUGUAUAAUAGUUACAGAAUAUGUAAUUUAUAUUAA